UACGUAGGGUGCAAGCGUUGUCCGGAAUUAUUGGGCGUAAAGAGCUCGUAGGCGGUUUGUCACGUCGGCUGUGAAAACCCGAGGCUCAACCUCGGGCCUGCAGUCGAUACGGGCAGACUAGAGUAUGGCAGGGGAGACUGGAAUUCCUGGUGUAGCGGUGAAAUGCGCAGAUAUCAGGAGGAACACCGGUGGCGAAGGCGGGUCUCUGGGCCAUAACUGACGCUGAGGAGCGAAAGCGUGGGGAGCGAACAGG
rnacentral:rRNA from 1 species